rnacentral:rRNA from 1 species
UACGUAGGGUGCGAGCGUUGUCCGGAAUUACUGGGCGUAAAGGGUGCGUAGAUGGCCUGAUAAGUUAGCAGUGGGAAAUCGAGGCUCAACCUCGUGGAAGCUGGUAAUACUGUCAGGCUCGAGUGCAGGAGAGGUUAACGGAACUCCAUGUGGAGCGGUAAAAUGUGUAGAUAUAUGGAAGAACACCUGUGGCGAAGGCGGUCUGCUGGGGUAAUGCUGACACUGAUGCGCGACAGCGUGGGGAGCAAACAGG